rnacentral:rRNA from 1 species
GAUGAACGCUGGCGGCGUGCCUAAUACAUGCAAGUCGAGCGAACAGACGAGGAGCUUGCUCCUCUGACGUUAGCGGCGGACGGGUGAGUAACACGUGGAUAACCUACCUAUAAGACUGGGAUAACUUCGGGAAACCGGAGCUAAUACCGGAUAAUAUAUUGAACCGCAUGGUUCAAUAGUGAAAGACGGUUUUGCUGUCACUUAUAGAUGGAUCCGCGCCGCAUUUGCUAGUUGGUAAGGUAACGGCUUACCAAGGCAACGAUGCGUAGCCGACCUGAGAGGGUGAUCGGCCACACUGGAACUGAGACACGGGCCAGACUCCUACGGGAGGCAGCAGUAGGGAAUCUUACGCAACAGGCGGAUGCCUGACGGAGCAACGCCGCGUGAGUGAUGAAGCUUUUCGGAUCGUAAAACGCUGUUAUUAGGGAAGAACAAAUGUGUAAGUAACUAUGCACGUCUUGACGGUACCUAAUCAGAAAGCCACGGCUAACUACGUG